GCCGGUCCUCGGUAGUGGCCCCCGGAAACGAAGACCCGGGUGCUUCGAUCGAAGACCGGC
rfam:Streptomyces vietnamensis strain GIM4.0001, complete genome.